UAAACCGGAGGAAGGUGGGGAUGACGUCAAGUCCUCGUGGCCCUUAUGGGUAGGGCUUCACACGUCAUACAAUGGUCGGUACAGAGGGUUGCCAAGCCGCGAGGUGGAGCCAAUCCCAGAAAGCCGAUCGUAGUCCGGAUUGUUCUCUGCAACUCGAGAGCAUGAAGUCGGAAUCGCUAGUAAUCGCGGAUCAGCAUGUCGCGGUGAAUACGUUCCCGGGUCUU
rnacentral:rRNA from 1 species